UACGGAGGGGGCUAGCGUUGUUCGGAAUUACUGGGCGUAAAGCGCGUGUAGGCGGCUCGGUAAGUCUGCUGUGAAAGUCCAGGGCUCAACCCUGGGAUGCCGGUGGAUACUGUCGAGCUCGAGUCCGGAAGAGGCGAGUGGAAUUCCUGGUGUAGCGGUGAAAUGCGCAGAUAUCAGGAGGAACACCAAUGGCGAAGGCAGCUCGCUGGGACGUGACUGACGCUGAGACGCGAAAGCGUGGGGAGCAAACAGG
rnacentral:rRNA from 1 species